CUUCAGCGAGCCGAGGUAGAGGGGCUCGUCGGCGGAGCGCUCCUGUCCGUACGUGGCCAGGAGGGCCUGCGCCUC
rnacentral:antisense_RNA from 3 species